UAUCAUCAGCUACAUGAGGAAAUGAUUGGGAAUCUUCUGAAAUCAAACCCACAUGUGGCGAAUGAGCUGCUUGAAUACAAGGGCCUAGCCAUUGCGCCUAUGGAUUUUGCAUACAUUGUUCCUCAAAAUAGCUUGAACCCAUGCUCCAGUUUAUGACGUUCAUGCGCCAGAAGGCUACUCUAUCUUCUUCUUCUUCUAUUUCCCAUUUGAUAAAAGGAAUGAUAAGUCAGGACUCACGAUCCGUUUAAUCGAAAUUCUAACAUCUUGUGACAUGGGGGUGUAAAUGAGUCAACCCGAGCUCGAGCUCGUCUCGUCUGUCAAAAUGUGAGCUCAAGCUCGGCUUGUAGUGGUAGCAGCCAGCUCGCGAGCUUGAACUAAAACUUCAAUUUUAUAUGGGAGCUCACUGGAGAAGUUAUUGGUGGUCGGAGGAGGAAGAGGAGGAUGCAGCGGCGACUCACCUGAAAAUGCAUCAAAAUAACUAGCAUUAAGUUAAUCGAGCCUUCUUGUGUGCCAACGAGCCGAGCCGGGAUGAGCUCAAGUUUGAGCUGGAGCUCUCGUUGCUCGAUAAGCUUGUCUCUUGAGCUCGUUAACAAGCUGGUUCAGCUCAUGCACACGCCAAAAUACUACUCAAUUUCCAUGUAUUUACAUAUCUAACAUAUAAAACUGAAUUUUUACUUGCUUGCCAC